ACUUUGUACAACUUUGGUGUAAUGUUUAUAAGCUAUGAGAAUCUGUGCUAAAAGUAUUAGCCAUUUGUUAUAAAUGCCAAUAAAAUGUACACCAGGGGCAAGAAUGUACAUUUUCUUUUUUAGAAAACCAAAUGUACUUUAUAUGAGAAUGCUACUAUUUAAAGGGUGGUUUCAUCUAUGUUAUUCACUUUGUGUUUUAAGACAAAAAUUCUAAUUUAAACUGUCUUCUCUCAAAUUGUUUGUGUGAAGAUGCUGUGCCCAGUUAAACAGUCCUCAGGUGUUUGUAUAAAUACUGUUUUACAGUCUUCAG
rnacentral:lncRNA from 1 species